rnacentral:rRNA from 1 species
AUUCACUAGUGAUUCCUGACGCAGCGACGUCGCGUGGGGGAUGAAGGCCUUCGGGUUGUAAACCUCUUUCAGCAGGGACGAAGCGUGAGUGACGGUACCUGCAGAAGAAGCGCCGGCUAACUACGUGCCAG